rnacentral:rRNA from 1 species
AACGAACGCUGGCGGCAUGCCUAACACAUGCCAGUCGAACGAGACCUUCGGGUCUAGUGGCGCACGGGUGCGUAACGCGUGGGAACCUGCCCUUAGGUUCGGAAUAACUCCCCGAAAGGGGUGCUAAUACCGGAUAAUGUCUUCGGACCAAAGAUUUAUCGCCUUUGGAUGGGCCCGCGUUGGAUUAGCUAGUUGGUAGGGUAAAAGCCUACCAAGGCGACGAUCCAUAGCUGGUCUGAGAGGAUGAUCAGCCACACUGGGACUGAGACACGGCCCAGACUCCUACGGGAGGCAGCAGUGGGGAAUAUUGGACAAGGGGCGAAAGCCUGAUCAAGCAAUGCCGCGUGAGUGAUGAAGGCCUUAGGGUUGUAAAGCUCUUUUACCCGGGAUGAUAAUGACAGUACCGGGAGAAUAAGCUCCGGCUAACUACGUG